rnacentral:rRNA from 1 species
AGUGACCCCUGCCGGAGGCCUUAAACAAGGAAAGUCAAACGGAACAACGUAAGAGGCUGGUUCUACGGGGGGGGAGGGGGGGGCGGGGGAGGGAUACAACGGAAACUAAUUUUUCGGGGGGGGUAAAGUAGGGAAACUUACGGCAAUAACGCAAUCGGACUAAGGGGGAAAAGAGGGGAUCUUUGGGCCUUGCGCGAUUGGAUGGGGCGAUGUCGGAUUAGCUAGUUGGCGGGGUAAAGGCCCACCAAGGCGACGAUCCGUAGCUGGUCUGAGAGGAUGAUCAGCCACACUGGAACUGAGACACGGUCCAGACUCCUACGGGAGGCAGCAGUGGGGAAUAUUGGACAAUGGGCGCAAGCCUGAUCCAGCCAUACCGCGUGGGUGAAGAAGGCCUUCGGGUUGUAAAGCCCUUUUGUUGGGAAAGAAAAGCAGCAGGUUAAUACCCCGCUGUUCUGACGGUACCCAAAGAAUAAGCACCGGCUAACUUCGUG